AAUGAAGGGGAUGAUGUUUUCCUGUGUGAGUAUGAAUAUGACAUACAAUGGCACAAUUUCAAGCGUCUGGCAGAGAUU